GCUAUGCACUUAAUUAGGAUGGUCUCUUUUUGUCACUGCAGGAUCUUCGCAUAUAAAAUAUCAUUUGGCUUUGUAGCCACUAGAUGACAGAGCUGUCAUGUGACAGCUGACUUCAAAAUGAAAGUGGUCACAAGCAAUCCUUGCCUGUGCUAACAACUAUGCAGUUCUUUGAUAUCUCCAGUCAAAACAAUGAAGUUUUUAGUGUCAUCUCCAAGUAUUUUUAGUUUCAAUAUUUAAUUAAUUUCAAUUUUCAGGGCUUCAAAGACAAUGUCUACCGUAGAAGACGAAAGUAUUUCGCAGAGCUGGCUAUGAACUACAAACAUGGGGACCCCAUUCCCAAGAUU
rnacentral:lncRNA from 1 species